rnacentral:rRNA from 1 species
CUACGGGGGGCUGCAGUGGGGAAUAUUGCACAAUGGGCGCAAGCCUGAUGCAGCCAUGCCGCGUGUAUGAAGAAGGCCUUCGGGUUGUAAAGUACUUUCAGCGGGGAGGAAGGGAGUAAAGUUAAUACCUUUGCUCAUUGACGUUACCCGCAGAAGAAGCACCGGCUAACUCCGUGCCAGCAGCCGCGGUAAUACGGAGGGUGCAAGCGUUAAUCGGAAUUACUGGGCGUAAAGCGCACGCAGGCGGUUUGUUAAGUCAGAUGUGAGAUCCCCGGGCUCAACCUGGGAACUGCAUCUGAUACUGGCAAGCUCGAGUCUCGUAGAGGGGGGUAGAAUUCCAGGUGUAGCGGUGAAAUGCGUAGAGAUCUGGAGGAAUACCGGUGGCGAAGGCGGCCCCCUGGACGAAGACUGACGCUCAGGUGCGAAAGCGUGGGGAGCAAACAGGAUUAGAUACCCGCGUAGUC